rnacentral:rRNA from 1 species
GACGAACGCUGGCGGCGUGCUUAACACAUGCAAGUCGAACGGUAAGGCCCCAGCUUGCUGGGGUACACGAGUGGCGAACGGGUGAGUAACACGUGGGUGACCUGCCCCGCACUUCGGGAUAAGCCUGGGAAACUGGGUCUAAUACCGGAUAGGACCGCACCGUGAGGGGGGGGGGGAAAGUUUUUCGGUGUGGGAUGGGCCCGCGGCCUAUCAGCUUGUUGGUGGGGUAAUGGCCUACAAAGGCGGCGACGGGUAGCCGGCCUGCGAGGGUGGAGGGCCACAUUGGGACUGGGAAACGGCCCAGACUCUUACGGGAGGCAGCGGUGGGGAAUAUUGCACAAUGGGCGGAGGCCGGAUGCAGCGACGCCGCGUGGGGGAUGACGGCCUUCGGGUUGUAAACUCCUUUCACCAUCGACGAAGGUUUUCUGACGGUAGAGGGAGAAGAAACACCGGCUAACUACGU